CUCAACGUGAUUGCUCUUCUCUGCUGGGAAACCAUAUUUCUUGUCCAGAAAGUGUCUCCAGGCUACUCUGAGACAGCGUGGGAGGUGAGCAGAAUGGCAGGCAGUGUGGAAGCUGUUUGCAUCUUGGCCCUGUGGCCUCUGCUCAGUGAGCCAGAAGGAGCUGCAUGCAUCAGUGGGAAGAAAUAUUGAAUUACUUCUAAGAAAAGUAUGGGAGAAAUUAGUGGACAAGACGCUGUGGUGACUACGAUGCUGUCAUGGACCCUCAAGAUGGAAACAGACUGGAUUCCUGACAGGAAGGCAGCUUCUCCUGAGAGCCCUUUCACCUGCACACGUUUUUAGGGAAUGGAUAAGAAAUUCUGUCAAUAAGCUUCUGGGAUUUGGGGGUUACUGUGUUAACCCAGUAUAAACUAGCCUAUUUCAUAAAUGUAAAAAUAUAGGAUUUCAACUGAUUACUAUGUAAGAAGGAAUAAAAUAAAGAUGACUAUUAUUUUAGGUAAAACA
rnacentral:lncRNA from 1 species